rnacentral:rRNA from 1 species
AAAGGGGCAUAAUCAUUAGUCUUAUAAUUUAAGACUGGGAUGAAGGGAUAAACCAGGAAGUUCUUUCUUAGUUUUUCCUUUUGAAUUUUACUUUUUAGUAAAAAGGCUUAAAAUAUUUCUUUCAGACAAGAAGACCCUAUAAAGCUUUACAUAUAAUGAUCUAAAAAAUUAGGAAUAUGUUUCGCUGGGGCGGUGGAAAGAUAAACACUUUUAGAGGGCUAAAAUAGAAUUAUUUUAAUACCCAAAAAUUUUGAAGCUUAAAUAAGUUACUUUAGGGAUAACAGCGUAAUGUAUUUCGAAAGCUCAAAUUGACAAAUAUGUUUGCGACCUCGAUGUUGGACUAAGCUUCCCUUAUUCCGCAAGAGGGGUAAAGGGGG